AUGGGGGCCGUCCUUCCCUGGGGGCAGGGACGUAGGGAACCAGGCGGUGGGGAGGGAGAAAGGAGCGACGAGGUCAGAGGAAACCUUGGGUUUCCAAGGCUCCUGGGGCACCAAAGGGCUUCCCGCAGUCGGGGAAUUGAGCCCUGGGGAGGAGCCUUUUGCGAGAACGUGAGCGCGCCCCAACACGCCUCAGACCUCGUAAACCCACUUGGCAAAGACCGGGGAAGCGGCUGGCGGACCGACUGCGGUGAACUCAAGAAAUUAACCUGCGCUGCAAUUAAACGGGCUGCCGCCCUUUCACACUCACCUCGAGCGACCGAGAUAGAGAAAGCUCCCGAACCGGCCGCGGGGGGACUUGGCUCCACCCUCCCGUCCCGGGAGAAGAGGACAAAAAGGGGAGAUGGACUUGGAAUGGCCCCGCCCUUCACAGCGCUCCAAUCCUUGGAAACCAAACCUCCUCUCCAAGCCUCCACGUCUAGAAGGGACAAAGGCAGCGAGGAGAUCCAGAGACCGACGGGGAGAUGGUGGCUUUCAGGCUUCUGGUGUGGGUGCAUGGGGGAAAGGUACAAUGGUUAACUUUCCAUCAAAAAUACGGCACCACACGAUGGUCUUGAGAAGACACACUCGGUCUUCUGGUUUAGAAGCAAAUUGACUUCCUGAAGCUGUGAAGCGAACUAUCGCAAAACUCUCUUGCUUCUUGAAUGUGGGGGCGAUACAAAUUCAAUUAAUGAUGCCAUACACGUAAUCUUUUCGACUUUUUAGAAGUCACAAACGCUUUAACUCUCCAGUGAAAAUAAUUGAAAGAGGUUAAACAUAAGGGGAAUGGGCUUUUUUUUUUUCUUGUUUUUAUUUGGGACAAUUUUUCAAAUGAUAAAACUGUAUAAAUACAAGCUGGGUCAGUCAAGGAAAGCGCUGUGGCUGAAGAUUUUCGUAAAAACCUUAGUAAACGUGGCAUUUAAGUAACUAAUUAUGCUUUGCCAUUAGCAGACCAUUAAGAUAAACAGGAGAAAGUUCACACUCCUGCUAUUUCGUUCCCUAAGAAUAGUCACAAAGAUAAUACCAGGCUAGUUGGUGGGUUAUCUUCUCCAUUAGGAGGGUUAAUGUUUAAAUUUGUUAAUUAAAAUACAAAAAAUUUGGUUUCCUACACAGCCAACGUUGUGAGGGAAGUCUCACGGGGACAUCCUGACUCCUUGAAAUUUACCUUUUGUUACUUUAUCCUGUGGCAUUAUCCCCUGGAGUCAUAUAGGGUUUCAAGACUGUUAAUGUUGCAGGGAAUGUGAGUGAAUAUGUUAGAAGUCUGGACUUUCUUCUCCCUUAUCAUAGGUGACUGGCAUACACACUCCUCAUAAAGAGAAGUUAUGGCUCAUCAAAAGAGUGACUUUAUGAGCAUUAAUAGAAUAAUAAAUCUUGCACUUUUAGUUCAAGAAACAGUGAAGUCCUAUAAUCAGAGUGACCCACGCAAAUAUGAUCCAUUCACUUGCCCAACUCUAACAGGAUACGGAUAGUCUAUAAAUCAUUUUAGUUUUUAAAACCUUAAAAAAGGAAGGCACCCAAAUCUCCCAAAGGAAGGUGUUUAUGGGGGGAAAGGGACUUCUAGCAAACCUGCAGGAAGAGAUCAUGGAAAAACGAACAGUCGGUCCAGAAGCUGAAUUAGAUAGACUUUCCACCGAAACAAGAAUGGAUAGAUGUUCCAAUGUCAUUGUUUCAGUAUUUAUGUUCUAUCAUUUAAAAAGAGAAAAGUCUUCCUGCUUCCUGAAAGCUAUACAAAAAAAAAAAAAAAUCCAGUUGAUAGCCCCGUUUUCUAAAUUCCAGCUGGAAAACUAUUCAAGUUGAUGAUUUUAGCAAAAGAAAGAGUAGGUGAAUACAAUAUGGCUUUUUAACCACAUUUUACACAUCUCUUUGUGGUAUUUCCCUGCCUAUGUGAAACUUCCUUUCUAUGCAAUGCAAUGUAGUCUUUUUACUAGUUGAGUUUGCUUGUGAUUUUUCAAUGAGUUAUCUAUUUUGAAUUCUUGUGAUCUUUACUCGUUGGAAAUUACUCAGUCUUCAAAAAGUUUUUCUUAAAACUUCAAAUUGGAUAAUUAUGGACCCUCCAAAUAUCAAAAAAGUGAAGUCACUAGCACACCUUCUUUCUAAUUUCUUACAGAAAAAUCAAUAUAUUGUCAUAAACCCAUAUUUAAACAUAUAUAACUAGGUAACUAGUGUCCAUGCCUAGGGAAAAGUGACUAACAGAAGACAAAGGUGGAUGAUUCAUGAUUCUGAACAGCUUUCAAAGGAAGAGACAUUGCAAUAACUUAUAUUAAACUUACUCCAUAUGAAUCUUUGUAUAUAUGCCUUUGGAUACCAAAGAUGUUUCGAUAGUGAUAUUCUAAAAUUCAAAAGAAAGUCUUUCUUCCAUAGGUAGUAGUUAAAUUUACAGUUCUAUCAAACUAGUUAUUGUAAUAUGUAAUGUGUAAUUUCAUUCAAUCAUUGAGUAUUUGUUUAGCAUCUGUAUUACGCCAUUCUCAGAACUGAGUACUAGGGAUACGAAGAUGAAUAACUGAAAUGAGUCAAAUUUUUGAUGCAUGAUCAACCACUAGCUUCAAUAUAACAUUACUUGGAUAUAAAACUUCAGAUUUUUUACUCAAAAGCAAUACCAGGAUUUGGCCUAUGAUGAAACUAUAAUUAAUUUGAAUAUUUCUGUUCUCACAAUGAAGCUAUUAAGGAGUAAUAUUUUGUCAAAAUAAAAUUUUUGGAGUUCGUUGUAAAGCCAAUGUGUUGGCUUAACUCAUAAUUUAACAUGAAAUUCUCCCUCAAAGAGAUAUUUAAUUUUAUUUUAUUUUAGAUGGAGUCUUGCUCUGUCGCCCCAGCUGGAGUGCAGUGGUGCUAUCUUGGCUGACUGUAACCUCUACCUCCCGGGUUCAAGGAUUCUCCUGCCUCAGCCUCCCAAGUAGCUGGGACUACAGACAUGCACCACCACACCCAGCUAAUUUUUGUAUUUUUAGUAGAGACAGGGUUUCACUAUGUUGGCCAGGCUAGUCCCAAACUCCCAACCUCAAGUGAUCCGCCCACGUCAGCCUCCCAAAGUGCUAGGAUUACAGGCCUGAGGCACCUCGCCUAGCCAAUCUUUUUAAAAGUGCAAAAUAACAACCUUAGAUCAACUAGGGUUAGAUUAACCAAAUUCUGAAGACAAGACUCAAGUCAAAGAUUGCCCAUUUGUUGAAGCAUCACUUCCAGCAGAAAGACCAGCAUUUCCAGGUUCUUACUAUUUGUUCUCUAUCUGAAGCUUAGGGAAAGGAAGUGAUUUAUUCAGGAACACAGAGCUGGUAAGGAGCAGUCAGCCCUAGAGUCUACACUUCAAUGGUAGUUUCUCCAAAGUUAUCAUUCUCAUAUCAUAUUCAAGAUUUCUUCUUAUUCUUUUUCUUUUUUUGGGGGGGAUAUAUUUUCAUGUAACUUGGUCCUGUUAUUUAAUUAAUAUACAUUUUUAAAGUCAACUUUAAAAAAUUUUUAACUUCAUCAUAAGCAAUAAUAUUCACAAAUCACAGGUCUGAUGGGCUAUUUAUACAUUUUCAAUGCAUAUCAAAAUACAUAUACUGUUAUCAAAAUUGAAAGAAAGAUUUUUGGAGUAAAAAAUGUCUGAUAGUAUACUUGCUAAACUGUGUAAGGAGUGAGAAAGAUGGGGAGGAAAGUGUUGUUACAAUUUGUGUUUGUGUGUGUGUGUACAAACAUGAAUCACUUUUAUAAUUUAAAAAAUUUUACAGAAAAAAUUAUGUGGCAUAGUAGUGGUUAGUAUAUCUCCAAAUUAAGUCAUUUCUUUGUAUAUUCUUAAUAGGAAAUAAAAAUUAGCAUGAAUCUUUUUUAGAGCAAUUUAACAAUAUACAUUUAAAGUCUUUAAAUGUUCACACUUUAGUGCCCUUAAUUCCUAUGCUUAGAAUCUACCUUAACAGAAAUGAAAAAAAAUAUAUAUAUAUAUAUAAGAAAUGAUAAAGUAAGUAAUCAAAAAUAAGUGAUUAAGAUAAGAGGACUAGUUAGGUAGAUAAUAAUCUAUUCCCAUUAUGACACAUUAAGUAGCUUUAAUUGUUUGAGAAUUUGCAAUUAAAUAGAAAAAUGGUCCAAUAUUAGGUAAAAGACCUGGAUACAAAAUUAUGAUCAUGAAUUACUUUUUUCAAAUUGUAUACCCCCAAAAUCACCUUGAAUGAAAAUAUACCAGCAUGUCAACAGCAAGUUGACUUCUGAUUAGAAAAAAUUUGGAAAAUUUAGAAGGUAUAGAUAAGCUAUGUAAGUUAUAUAGCUAUAUAAUGAUGUUUAUAUAUAUAUAUAUGCUAUGGAGUCAACUGCUUUGUUUGGACUGAAUUAUCAAUUAUCUUUUUAAGUAUUUAAAAACAUUUUAAAGUUAAAUGAUAGAACCUACUUUUUAUAAGACUGGUAAUUGUAAAUGUGUCUCAAGGAACAUGUUAAUACUGCUAAUGAAAUAGUGGUACAGUAACCUUUUCACACAGAUAUUUUUCCCUUCACAGAUAAUACAGGAAGAAGGUUUGAGUGGGCAUUUUAAAUAUAUUUUAUAUAGAAAAGAAAAUUUAGGACCAAAGAGAUUGAAUGAUUUAACCUAAGGUCUUCCAAUGCUAAUGGUAUAAAGACUAAAAUCCAGGUCUCUUAAUUCUUACUGUUACAUUUUGAAAUCUGUCAUUCCACUACAGUUGAAAAAUAUUACCAAAUAUUAGCAAAAGAAAAUUACUAAUGGCCAAUAUGAAAAAAGUUCAACAUAGCAUUUACAUUGUAUUAACUAUUAUAAGUAAUCUAGAGAUGAUUUAAAGUAUAUCAGAAAAGGUAUGUAGAUUAUAUGCAAAUAUUAUGCCAUAUUGUAUAAGAGACUUGAGCAUCCAUGGGGGUCCUGGAACUGAUAUCCUUUGGAUACCAAGGGAUGACCACAUACUGAAUGUUUGUGAGUGUGUGUGAUUUCCCAGUUGUUAAGAGCAUAUAUAAUUCCCAGUUGUUGAGAAUAUGAAAAAAUAGACCCUAUAAUUCUCUACUGGUGAGACUGGAACUAUGAAAAGUUUUAUUCUUUCCAGAUAUAUUAAAAGUCUUUUACCCAGGAAUUUAAUUUUUGGAAAUUGAUUUAAAGAAAUAUUCAUGACUGUCAUCAAAAUUUUAUGUAUAAGGAGACUCAUUGUAGCAUUGAUAUCUAACAGCAAGUGAUCAAAGAAGUUAUAUUCAUUUAUGUGAUAGAAAGUUGUAUGCCUAUCAAAUUCUGUAGGAAAUGUCAAAUGACACUGAAAUAUUUAAAUGAUUUUUUGAUAACCAAAAAAACAGAUUUCAAAACAAUGUAUAUAGUAUUAUCCCAUAUUUGUAUGUGUGUGUGUGUGUGUGUGUGUGUGUGUGUGUGUGUGUGUAUGUGUGUGUGUGUGGCUAGGCACUGAAAAAUAAUCAGACAAGUAUAAUCAAAGUGUUAAUAGUAAUUUUUUCCAGGUAAUGUCAUUUUUUCUAGCAAAGUAAUUAUGUAUACAUUAUACAUUUUUUUCACUCUGGCUUUUCAGAUUUUUAAGCUUUUCUACAAUGAAUAUAUCACUUUUGCAAUUAGGAAAAGUUCAGAGCUUGCAAAUAAAUUUUGCCAGCAUAAAAUUUCUUCCAUAUCAUAAGACUGACCAAAUCAAAUGCUUUUCUAACUUAUAAUGUUAAUUGUGAGGUUUUGUUAAUCAUUAUUUAAACACACACACACACACACACACACACCUUGAAAUUCUUGGUGAUAUAUCCAUUUGAUUUCCCAAACAGCCUUCACUCAGAAUUCAGGGUAUCCAGUAUGCAGUAUGCUAGCACAAAGUUGACUUUGCAUCUGCAGACUACCAGCCCAUGACUGAUCCCUUGUAGAUUUCAUGUUAUUUGCCCUUUCACCAUUACAUGAAAUCUACACAUACUCUCCUGUCCACUAGGUUGUGGUUUGAUUUCUCAGCGCAUUACUAAUAACAGUGUUUCAAAAAAGUUACUCAUUGGUUGUUUUUUUAAGUAUCUAGAAGGCAGAACAGGUUUAUUUUUAGUAUCUUUCUGAUGUUUAUGUUGAAAAUUUGUUCAUUCCAAACAACAGGUUUUAUGUGAACUUUUAUUGACUUAAUGUUUAGAACAAAGAUGAAACCAAAUCUAGCACUGGACACCUACUCACUGGUUUCCACCUCCUGCUUUUGCUAAUGAUGACCUUGGACAAGUGUCUUAAUGACUCCAUGCAUCAGUUUCCACAUCUGUAAAAGAGGAAUAAAUUAAAUACUGAUAGGAUUGCUAUGAGGAUUGAAUAACAUGUAUAUAAAGUAUAUGGGAGUCUGUAUCUGUAAGCUGAUAUGCUCUAAAUCCUUAAACCUUUACUGUGAGGCAGGAUAGGUGAAGCAAGAGCUCUAAUUUUGGAAUCAAGAGAGGUAUCUAGUCUAGAAAAUCAAAACCAUAUUAUGUAGCCAUGAUUUUAGAAAAACAAGCCAUUACUAUUUAAAUAAACAAGACAACAACAAUAAUUUAAAAAUUUUAAAACCUAAACAUAAUGAAUGGUAUCUAAAUUCUUCUAUUGCUGUUGAUUUGCUACUUACUAAUUCAUUUUGUCUUUUGCAAGAACUAAUCUACCAGUUAUGUGAGAGUAGGGCAAAAGCUAUUAUUUUUAACUGUAAGAAAAAAAACUAAAAUCAAGGAAGCUUUGUUUGUUGAUAUCUCAAAUACAAGAAACAGUUCGGUAUGCUUAGAAAAAUCAAUAUUUCGUAGGAAUUGUUAUAAUAAAUAUAAAUAAAAAAACUACAGCAAAUAGGAAACAUUUUAUUUCACUUCCUUUUUUCUGUUAAUUGCACAGACCACCACUAUUCCUUGGUCUAGCUUCUAGUCAGCAGUGUUCUGCUGGAGCACAAUUGGAAAACCACUGAUCUAUUCCAGAUGAGAAAAUCGUCUCAAGGAAAAGUGAUUUGCCCAGGGUUACAUACCAAGUUACUGAAGAAGCUAAGAUCCAGACCUACUCAAUCCCUCUUCAUGGCUAUUUCCACUACAUCGAGUUUGCCUAUCCUAGCAAAAGAGAUUUCCUUGAGCUGGUAUUGAACCAAAAGCUCAGUUAUCUUCUUUCCUCCCUUUCUCACUCCUUCUUUAACUUUCUCCCUCUGUCCCUCUCUGGCGUUUUCCUCCCUCCAUUCUUAGCUUCCUUCCUUCCUAAGGUUUCUCAGGAAUGAAAUCCUGUACUUUAUGUGACCAAUAAUAAUUAACUGCUUAGUCAAUCAGUACAUAAUUUUUAUGUUUUCUCUAAAUUAUUUUGAUAACUUUCAGUUCAUUUCAUUUUCUUUUCUAACCUCAGAAGAUUAGUGGAAUAGCUAAUUGUGUUCUCUGUAUAUCAAUAUCUUCUGUUCUUUGGGAGUAUUUGGAGUUAUCCUCCACCUUUUUUUUCAUUUUUAAUCUAAAAUGAUUUUUAUAGGCUUAGGAUCAGGAAAUAAAAAAGACAAAAGAAAUGUAUGAUUUUUCAGCUGGAAAAAUAUAAUUCUUUUAUUUCACGUAUAAAUAUAAAUGGAAAAUAUAGCACUAUUCUGCAUUAUCAGGGAUCAUAUGAAAUAAAAAUUGAUUCUUCUGGUC